GCUGGGCACUGUGGUGCACGCCUGUAAUCCCAGCUGCUUGGGAGGCUAAGGCAGGAGGAUUGCAAGCUCCAGGCCAGUCUCAGCAAUUUAGCCAGGCCCUAAACAACUUAGUGAGAUCCUGUCUCAA
rnacentral:sRNA from 1 species